rnacentral:lncRNA from 1 species
AACAUAGAGACCCAGAAAACCUGAGCCUUCACUAUGGUGAAUAACUAAAGCAAUAUAGAAAUACAUUACGGAAAAGAAGGAACAACACGUAAGAAAUCAGCUCAAUGUAUUUGAAGAAUCCAUAGACACUAACCACUUCAGGAAAAUUGAAAAACACUAAACAAACAACAACACGAAGAGUUAUCUAUCCAAAAUGGAGAUGUAUGGAUAAACCACUUCUCCAAUCCUUUUGGGCCUAUAACAAAGAACAAACAGCAAAAACACAUACAUGAUCAAAUACAAAUCUUAGAAUCAACUAUUAAAGACUACCAGAACCCACUGGAUUCUCCAAUUACAUUGAGUGGACUACAGGACAAAAUACAAACCCUCCAACCCAAAAAAGCCUGUGGUGUUGAUGGUAUCCUCACUGAAAUAAUAAAAUAUACAGACCACAAAUUCCAAUUGGCUAUACUUAAACUCUUUAACAUUAUCCUUAGUUCUGGCAUCUUCCCCAAUAUUUGUAACCAAGGACUGAUCACCCCAAUACACAAAAGUGGAGACAAAUUUCAUCCAAAUAACUACCGUGGGAUAUGUGUCAAAAGCAACCUUGGGAAAAUCCUCUGCAUUAUCAUUAACAGCAGACUAGUUAAUUUCCUCAGUGAAAACAAUGUACUGAGCAAAUGUCAAAUUGGCUUUUUACCAAAUUACCAUACGACAGAACACGUAUUCACCCUGCACACCCUAAUUUACAAACAAUCAAACCAAAACGAAGGCGAAGUCUUCUCAUGCAUUGUUAAUUUCAGAAAAGCUGACUCAAUUUGGCAUGAGGGUCUGCUAUACAAAUUGAUGGAAAGUGGUGUUGGGGGAAAACAUACGACAUUAUAAAAUCCAUGUACACAAACAACAUUUAAAAAAUAAAAUAAAAUCGGCAACAAAAAAAACACAUUUCUUUCCACAGGGCCGUGGGGUGAGACAGGGAUGCAACGCUCUUCAACAUAUAAAUAAACAAAUUGGCGAGGGCACUAGAAGUCUGCAGCACACGGCCUCAACCACUAGCAUCUGAAGUAAAAUGUUUACUGUUUGCUGACGAUCUGGUG